CAGCAGCCGCGGGAAUACAGAGGAUGCAAGCGUUAUCCGGAAUGAUUGGGCGUAAAGCGUCUGUAGGUGGCUUUUCAAGUCCGCCGUCAAAUCCCAGGGCUCAACCCCGGACAGGCGGUGGAAACUACCAAGCUGGAGUACGGUAGGGACAGAGGGAAUUUCCGGUGGAGCGGUGAAAUGCGUUGAGAUCGGAAAGAACACCAACGGCGGAAGCACUCUGCUGGGCCGACACUGACACUGAGAGACGAAAGCUAGGGGAGCAAAUGGGAUUAGAUACCCCCGUAGUCCCUGUCUCUUAUAC
rnacentral:rRNA from 1 species